rnacentral:rRNA from 1 species
UACGUAGGGGGCAAGCGUUGUCCGGAAUCAUUGGGCGUAAAGCGCGUGUAGGCGGCUUGAUAAGUCUGCUCUGAAAGCCCGGGGCUCAACCCUGGGAGGCGGGUGGAUACUGUCGAGCUCGAGUCCGGAAGAGGCGAGUGGAAUUCCUGGUGUAGCGGUGAAAUGCGCAGAUAUCAGGAAGAACACCUAUGGCGAAGGCAGCUCUCUGGGACGGUACUGACGCUGAGACGCGAAAGCGUGGGGAGCGAACAGG